UACGUAGGGGGCUAGCGUUGUCCGGAUUUAUUGGGCGUAAAGAGCGUGUAGGCGGCCAGGUAGGUCUGGUGUGAAAACUCGAGGCUUAACCUCGAGAUGUCAUCGGAAACCAUUUGGCUAGAGUCCGGAAGAGGAGAGUGGAAUUCCUGGUGUAGCGGUGAAAUGCGCAGAUAUCAGGAGGAACACCGGUGGCGAAGGCGGAUCUCUGGGCCUUGCCUGACGCUGAGGCGCGAAAGCUAGGGGAGCGAACAGG
rnacentral:rRNA from 1 species